AUCAAGAACACCAGUUGUCUGUGUUAGCAGCUUACUCACUCUGGUUUAUUUAUCCCUUUCUGGAUCUGGCCUCUAGAGCCAAGUGCUUCUUUUAAAAAUUCCUUUUAAACUAAGUGUGGAAGCCAAUAAGAGACUGUUGAAGGGGAAUGCAAGUGUGGUCUAAGAUAAUUUCUAGUUUAAUUUUGUAGCAGUUAGGAUUAGGUUAUUAAACAUAUUUAAAAUGAGAGGUGACACAUUCAAGUGGUGACAUAAAAAAAUUAUCAAAAUUUCAUUAGAUUUACUUCUUAGGGAGACAUGCAAAUCGUAUUUGAUCUUCUACUCUGAUGUUUGCCUUCCUUUAUUGAAAGGAUGAAGAGAUUCCUGCUGAGCUAGAGGUCAGGAAACAGAUAGUACUUUUUUUGCAAGCUUGUGUGAGCAGAGUUUACACUAUCAAGAUACUUAUUUAAACAUGGCUAAUUACAAGGCCGGUCACUGCAAAGAAGCUCUGGUUCUAUAACUUGUAGGUAGUUUUACUAAACCCUUGCACUUAGGCUGAAAUGUUGCUGAACAAUUCCUUCGCAGGAGUGCUGUUCUUGUCAUAUUACACCUGUGGUGUAAGAAAACAUGAAGCCUUAAGCAGUAACACUUGCUUAUUUGAGUAGUCACAGAUAAGGUAGGUUUGUGAGAGGUGCUGAGCAGCUUCCACGGCUAUUGUCUUAAUGAAAGUACUGCAUGAGGAAAGGCUGAACUGCAACCUCCUUGUUUGAUCUGUUGCAUCUUACUUGGUCUGUUUGAGAAUAUUCUUUCUGAUUUGCUUUUGUUUUAUCCUUGACAUACACAGAAUGUGUAUUUACACCAGUACUGCGUUAGACAUUAAUUUGGUUAAACGGUUUCUCACUGUAUUCAGUACUGCUUAGCUGCAUCUGGAGCAAAAUUUAAUAGAGCACACAGUUAAGUGUUUGCUAAAAAGAAAUAGAAGAGGCUGGCAAGGAAUUUCUAAUGUAGUUGUGAAAGUUUUACAACAGCUUAUUUAUGCAGAAGUCAUUAUUUUGCAUUUCCUUUUGUGUUAAUAAGAAUUAGUUAAAUCUCUGAUACCUUUGGAGAGAAUAAACACACAUAAUUUCUCUCUUAAAAUUUUUGCUGAAAGGUUCUGUAGGAAACUUCAAGAUACAGAUCUAUCACCACAGACGUAUCUUCUAGUCCACCAUUAGAUAGCUGCCAGUGGCAUAAAAAUCAGUUUCAAAAUGGGCAUGAACUGGCAUUUUGGCUGGCAACAUCAUCAGAGAAUAAUAUGUAAGGGAGCAAGUUUGCCCACUCAUCACUGCAUUUCUUGUAAGCCAGGAUGCAGUCCUGAGGGAAUUUAUCCUCAUGUUGGCAUUUCUUACACCUUUUUGAGGAAGUGCUGAAAUGCUCUUUCACAAAAAUUUAUUCUUUUGAUUAACUCCAUUGAUUCCAUAGGAUGGUUCAGGGGACUAAUGUCAAAUGAAUCUGAUUUAAAGUAAAUUUAAAUUAAUUGAAUAAGAUAUAUUUACAAUUAUGAUCCAUCUUCAUAUCUUAAUGAUAAAACCUCUUCAGAGUACACCUGUUUGAAGCCAAAGCAGACAAUGCCCUUCCAGAUCAGGCCCAUCACAAUACAGUAGGUAUUCCUCGGUCAAUAGAAAUUAAAUUUUAACUAAAUUUUCCAGAACAUUCAUGGGAGAUGCAAAUCCAAAUAUGAAAUAUUUCCCCAAAAGAAUGCAAUUCCUUCAUGCAUUUACAAGGAAUGGAUUAACAAGAGCUGUUGGAUCUUUGUUUAGUACAUUUUAAAAUGAAUACAAAUGGAAUUUUCUAGCAGUGAUCCAAAUUAUGCCCUGCUAUAUUUUCCAGAGAUUCAUUUCUCCAUUUCCAAGCUUAAGCAUUUGGAAGAAAUCAGAGAGUUCUGUUCUAAGCCCCUUUAAGGGUGAUAGAUAAAUACUAAAGGGAAAACAUUUGACUCAAAUAAGUGAAUUUCCUUUAUGUAUUGUUUUAAACCCACUUUUCUUCACUCAGUUUUCCGUGAGAGCUACAUAAAAUCAUUUUGAAUGCUGUAGUAUUGGAACUGAGAAAGAUGCCUGCAGUUACAUAAAACCACUGUUAGGUCACUUAUGACUGAAAGUGGCAGUUAAAAUCAGUGAUAUUUAUUUUGUCUCUGUCAGGUGGAGAAGUAAAUCAGUUUGUAAAUAUAAAAAAAAGAUAACACUGAUAGGGAAAGAAAAGGUUAUAUAUGAAAGGAUGAGACAUUAUUCUUUUGGGGGGAGGGAGUGUGUCUCAAUGUUCUUAUUAUAUGGAAACUAAUCUUUAUGCUUAAAAGAGUGACCUGGAACAAAGACCUUGGUUCAGCCAUCAGCUCUGUUCCUGAUGCUCAGCGAUAAUGCUGUUUUGUAGUAAGCAAAUUGUGAAUCUUCUGGGGCUUUAGUCACAGUUACAUUGAAGACCUUUAACACCCCUCUGGCAACUUGCUCAGUCUGCUAGACAGUAUUCCUUCCGCACCAAUAAUGUUAUCAAAAAUAUUGAAGAAAACCAACUGAAAAUAAAGCCAUCAACAUCCUUUAGUUGAUCCAA